CGCUUCCUGUCUAGGAUUAGCCAUGCAUGUCUAAGUAUAAAGGUUACAUACAAUGAAACUGCGAAUGGCUCAUUCAAACAGUUAUAGUUUAUUUGAUAUUCAAACUUAUAUUUUCUUAUUAGUUUAAAUGGAUAACCGUAGUAAUUCUAGAGCUAAUACAUGCGUUACGGGGGACUUUACGGAACCUCAGUAUUUAUUAGAUUAUUAAACCAGCAUUCCGCAAGGUCUACUGAGAUGAUUCAUGAUAACUGAUCGAAUUGCUGGGUCUACCAGCAAUAAAUCAUUCAUGUUUCUGCUUCCCAUCAGCUUGAUGGUAGUGUAUUGGACAACCAUGGCAUUCACGGGCUAUCGGGGGAUUAGGGUUCGAUUCCGGAGAGGGAGCCUGAGAAACGGCUACCACUUCUACGGAAGGCAGCAGGCGCGAAAAUUAUCCAAUCCUGACUCAGGGAGGUAGUGAAAGAAAUAAUGAACUAGGAUUUAUCCUGGGGUCACAAUGGGCUUGAUUUGCAAACUCAAUUUUAGCGAGGAACAAUUGGAGGGCAAGUCUGGUGCCAGCAGCCGCGGUAAUUCCAGCUCCAAUAGUGUAUAUUAAUGUUCCUGCAGUUAUUCGAUGCUCGUAGUUGGAUUUCUGGAGGUUGCGACGGGAGGGUGGCUAUGGCCGCCGCCGGUCGCCUCCUUCAUCCACCUGUUAACGUCGUCCGGGAUUCAUUUCUCGGCUUCGGGCUCAGGUACUUUACCCUUUCUAUAUAAUAUUCAUUUAUUCAUCUUCUUUUUGAGCAAAUUAUAGUGUUUCAGGCAGGCGUGCGCCGGAAUACCUUAGCAUGGAAAUAAUCGAACUGGACCGUGUAUCCAUUUGUUGGUUUGAGAGACACGGAAAUGGUUAAUAGGGAUAGUAAUUUUCAGGGGAGGCAUUAGUAUUUAAUUUCCAGAGGUGAAAUUCUUUGGAAAUUAUUAAAGACUAACUUAUGCGAAAGCAUUUAUUUUGCCAAUAAUGUUUCAUUAAUCAUUGGAACGAAAGUUAGGGGAUCAAAGACGAUCAGAUACCGUCCUAGUCUUACCAUAAACGUUGCGGACUAGGAUCGGAGGGCGGUGCCACAAUUCCGUCUUCGCACUUUACGAGAAAUCAAGUCUUUGGUCUGGGGUAGAUGUCGCAGGCUGAACCUAAAGAUGACGAAAGGCACACAGGAGUGAGCUGCGCUCAUUGGACUUCACACACGGGGAAAUAAAUCUUACCAGGUCCAGACAUAGCGAGGAUUGACAGAUUGAUAGCUCUUUCUUGAUUCUAUGGGUAUUUUUGGUGGUGCAUGGCCGUUCUUAGUUGGUGGAGUGAUUUGUCUGGUUAAUUCCGUUAAACGAACGAGACCUCAGCCUGCUAAAUAGUUACCUGUCUUUCUUUUCGAGACUUGCUAACUUCUUAGAGGGACGUUGUGUGCAACCACAAGGAAGUUGAGGCAAUAACAGGUCUGUGAUGCCCUUAGAUGUCCUGGGCCGCACGCGUGCUACACUGAUACGUACAACGAGGUAUAUGCAUUUAUGCAUCGACGCUGCUCCGAAAUAGACAAAGCUAAAUCUUCUAAAAUACGUAUCGUGCUGCGGAUAGAUCGUUGCAAUUAUGAAUCUUGAAGGUGGAAUUCCUAGUAAGCGCGGGUCAUUAACCCGCGUUGAUUACGUCCCUGCCCUUUGUACACACCGCCCGUCGCUCCUACCAAUUUCGAGUGGCUUGGUGAACCUCUUUGGACUGUCGAGCAAUCGCGAAAUUAGAGUGAACCUGGUCACUUAGAGAAGAAAAGUCGAAUCAUGUCCCG
rnacentral:rRNA from 1 species